UCUGAAUGUGAGUAUCGCCAUCUAAGCCCAGUAUUUGGCCAAUCUCAGAAAGCUCCUGGUCCCUGGAGGGAUGGCGAGAGAAAAACAAACAGCUCCUGGAACAGGGAGAGUGCUGGCCUCUUGCUCUCCGGCUCCCUCUGUUGCCCUCUGGUUUCUCCCCAGGCUCCCGGACUUCGCUGCUCCUGGCUUUUGGCCUGCUCUGCCUGCCCUGGCUUCAAGAGGGCAGUGCCUUCCCAACCAUUCCCUUAUCCAGGCUUUUUGACAAUGCUAUGCUCCGCGCCCAUCGCCUGCACCAGCUGGCCUUUGACACCUAUCAGGAGUUUGUAAGCUCUUGGGGAAUGGGUGCGCAUCAGGGGUGGCAGGAAGGGGUGACAUUCCCCCACUGGGAAAUAAGAGGAGGAGACUAAGGAGCUCAGGGUUUUUCCCAAAGCGAAAAUGCAGGCAGAUGAGCACACGCUGAGUGAGGUUCCCAGAAAAGUAACAAUGGGAGCUGGUCUCCAGCGUAGACCUUGGUGGGCGGUCCUUCUCCUAGGAAGAAGCCUAUAUCCCAAAGGAACAGAAGUAUUCAUUCCUGCAGAACCCCCAGACCUCCCUCUGCUUCUCAGAGUCUAUUCCGACACCCUCCAACAGGGAGGAAACACAACAGAAAUCCAACCUAGAGCUGCUCCGCAUCUCCCUGCUGCUCAUCCAGUCGUGGCUGGAGCCCGUGCAGUUCCUCAGGAGCGUCUUCGCCAACAGCCUGGUGUAUGGCGCCUCAGACAGCAACGUCUAUGACCUCCUAAAGGACCUAGAGGAAGGCAUCCAAACGCUGAUGGAGAGGCUGGAAGAUG
rnacentral:sRNA from 1 species